UAUACUAAGGACGCCAUACUAAUUUAACAAAACAGAUCACACAGUAAUSUAUGAAGAUUUAAACUUAAAAUGCGUCGAUUAAAACCCGUUUCAUUGAAAGUGAAGAAUGUUGGGCGCGAUGGAAAAAAGACAACAGUAUUUAUUCCACUGAGAGUUGAUCCUGGAAAGCCGGAGUCUCAAAAGGAAAAUCGAAAUCAAGAAAGCAGCGAGAGUACAGCAGAACAAAGUCGACGAUUUUUAUAACCAGCAUUUCUGAUAACUGGGAUAAAGAGGGAGUAUUUGUUCCGCUAUAUCCGGAUGAAUCAGUUGUUGGCUAUAUGGCCAUACCUGCGAUACAAUGACGACUAAGCUGUUUAGACUCUUGGAUGCCUCAGGAAAUCAUCACCUAAAGUAUGUUGAAGUUUAUGACUGUGAGCCACAAGCAGUAACACUGUUGAAAUGUCAGUUUUAAUUUGGCCAGGAUCACCAGCCAAUCCCACUACAGGAUUUAGCUUCAAACUUAAUGGAACUUGCUGUGAAGGUCUUCAUUGUCAAGUGUCCCUAUUAAACUUCUCAGAAGUCAUUUCAGAACUGAAUCCUCAACUGCAACCAACACAUGUAG